UACCUGCAGCUCAAGUGGUAACCGCUAUUAUUGGGCCUAAAGCGUCCGUAGCCGGUUUGGUAAAUAUCUGGGUAAAUCGUGAGGCUUAACUUCACGAAUUUCGGAUAGACUACCAGACUUGGGAUCGGGGGAGGUCAGAGGUACUCCAGGGGUAGCGGUGAAAUGUUGUAAUCCUUGGAGGACCACCGGUAGCGAAGGCGUCUGACUAGAACGAGUCCGACGGUGAGGGACGAAGCCCUGGGGCGCAAACCGGAUUAGAUACCCGGGUAGUCCAGGGUGUAAACGAUGUGGGCUUUGUAUUGGAGGUCCCACGUGGGCGUCCAGUGCAGAAGAGAAGUUGUUAAGCCCACCGCCUGGGAAGUACGGUCGCAAGGCUGAAACUUAAAGGAAUUGGCGGGGGAGCACAGCAACGGGAGGAGCGUGCGGUUU
rnacentral:rRNA from 1 species